GUGAGGAAUUUUGCGCAAUGGGGGAAACCCUGACGCAGCAACGCCGCGUGAGUGAUGAAGGCCUUCGGGUCGUAAAGCUCUGUCAAGUGGGAAGAACCUGCUCUGUGAUAACACCACGGGGCACCGACGGUACCACUGAAGGAAGCACCGGCUAACUCCGUGCCAGCAGCCGCGGUAAUACGGGGGGUGCUAGCGUUAUUCGGAAUCAUUGGGCGUAAAGGGCGCGUAGGCGGUCUUUUAAGUCAGAUGUGAAAGCCCUCGGCUUAACCGAGGAAGUGCAUUUGAUACUAAGAGACUUGAGUAUGGGAGAGGGAAGCGGAAUUCCUGGUGUAGCGGUGAAAUGCGUAGAUAUCAGGAGGAACACCGGUGGCGAAGGCGGCUUCCUGGACCAAUACUGACGCUGAGGCGCGAAGGCGUGGGGAGCAAACAGGAUUAGAUACCCCAGUAGUCC
rnacentral:rRNA from 1 species